UACAGAGGUGGCAAGCGUUGUUCGGAAUUACUGGGCGUAAAGCGCACGUAGGCGGCUACUCAAGUCAGAGGUGAAAGCCCAGGGCUCAACCUUGGAACUGCCUUUGAAACUAGGUAGCUAGAAUUCUGGAGAGGUCAGUGGAAUUCCGAGUGUAGAGGUGAAAUUCGUAGAUAUUCGGAAGAACACCAGUGGCGAAGGCGACUGACUGGACAGAUAUUGACGCUGAGGUGCGAAAGCGUGGGGAGCAAACAGG
rnacentral:rRNA from 1 species